rnacentral:misc_RNA from 1 species
CACCUCAUCCUACAGCUGCGCCCCUCCCCAUCAAAACGGAUCAGCGCGGACACGGCAAGUGCGUCAUCUUCACGGAUUCCAAGCCCACACCGCUUUAUCCCCAAUCACGUAAACGAAAUUGGGACGAGCACACGCGCACACAGACUCACACACACCUGUGCAUGUGUGCAUCGGUGAGAACGGCACUCACAGGCCGAAAGCCCGAGUUUUUCUUUCCUUAUCCGCUUGCGUAUUGAGCCAAGGCACCUCAACUGAAGCCUGAAAAAGCGGAGCGAAGAACAUCCAGCUUCAGGCACGUGUGCGCGCUCGUUGGCCGUGAUCUCCUCUCUCUUCCGACUCUCCACCGCCCUGCACUCAGUCACACAAGAGCAACGAUGCCGCGGGUGUCGCAGCCGUUGCCCACGGCGGGUGACUACCUCGUCACGACGUUUGCAGACAUGAUGCAUGCGCCAUCCUUCCGCAAGCACGUGUGGGCGAAGAUGCAGCAGACGGAGCGGCGUCGACUGGAAGCACUGCGGCUGCAAGCGCUCUAUGGCGAUGCCCCAGUGACGUCGGCUGCGUCUGGAGGAGCCGCCGAUGCUGCCAGCGGAGCAACAGCAGCCGGCACCGUGGACGUAGAGAGCGAGUCAACAGCCCAAACUUCGUCGCGGGAAACAUCCUCAUCCUCCGCCGCCCCCGGUAGCGCAGAUAGUACGGCGCACCCUACCUCGCGCGCAACGGCAGUGAAGAAGACGCCGCCCGCGUCCUUCAGUGGGAGGUCUUCGUCCACCUCGCGGCCGCCGGCACCGCUGCGGUGGUUCGACGUUGCCGGACGUGCCCGAUACUCGGCGUGGGUGGCGCUGCGCGGCCGCAUGUCGGCCGACGUCUCCGCCGAGUGCUUCUGUGCCGAGUUUCUCGGCUUUAUAAAGAAGCACCCGCAUCCGACGCUGCUGCCCCUCGUUGAGGCCGCCCUAAGCACUGCCCACGGGCUUGCCCGUCGCAGCCGCGCCAUGCCUCCUUGUCUACUGGUGGCCCCAUCGGCCUGCACUGCUGCAGCGCACAGCACCGGCGCCGCCACCGCUCCGUCGUCGUCGUCGUCCACAGUGAUGCUUCAGGUACGCGCGUUGCAGGGAGACCCGGCUGCUCUUGCUCUUCUCUGGAUCUGCCGCGCCUAUCGACUGCCGUGCGAGUUCAUUGUUGAGCCGUUGUCCAAGGCCCUCAGGGCGCACACGACUGGCGCAUCCACGCGUGCCUCGUCAACGCGCGGUGUAAGGCGCGGCGAGGCCGCCGACAGCCGCCCCACUUCACCGCCCACCACCAACCCGUACCUGUCCUACACCAUGGCGGAUGCGUGCUACCCGUUCACUGUAUCGCUGAUGCAGCCCAGCGGUGCUGCCGCAGGGGCGUCGCCACCGACAGUGGCUACGGCCGUCACCACACCGGAAGCGGCGUUCGUGUUACUGACGGACACGUUUCUUGCCGACUACCCGCAUUGGAUGGGGGUGCCCUCUGACCCGGUGAGCGCUGCAGCGCUGUCGCCGGCGUCGCGCCUGGUCCAGCGGUGCGCCUGGUUGGACGAGCUGCAGCACAUCACGCGCCACGUGCGGACACCGAUACUGGCUCUCCUGGUGCAUCAGGCUGCGCAGCCGCAGCGACUACGCCGUUUGAGCUCUUCCGCCGCUGCAGCGGAGCGUCGUCUUCUUCUCCGUGCCGUCGCGGCGCACCUGCACACCUAUGAGCGAUGGACGAUGGAUCGUGUGCUGUCCCGCCGCGUUCAUCAGGCCCAAAGUGUCCUCUCCCCGCUGCUGGCCUCCUCCGCGGUUGUCGACUGCCUCCGACACGCCUACGCGCCGGAUGCAAAGGUCGUCAGUGCGGCGGACACAUACGUGUCCAGCUGCGGCUACGCACUGUGCACACACCCCUUCUGCGCUGACGUGUUCCCGUUCCUGCGAGUGCCUCACGCGCCCGUGGCGACUCUGCACGACACAGUGCAAGCACAGUGGCCAUCCCCAGAGCAACCGCCGACGGGCAGUAUCACUGCCUCCUACGCGCCAUGGGCGCUGCCGCUGUACCUCUCCGGCGUCCCGGCGGAGUACAACAACACAAUCAACCGGCUCCUGCGCCGUGAAGCGAAUGGGGCCAUUCGGCAGGAGCAGCAUGCGCAGCCGGUGCGCCUGUUCAUCAACGACGAAAGCGAGGCGAAGGUCGGCCGCAGCCGAAGCGCCAGCGGUGGCAGUGGAUCCAGCGAAACGGUUGAGAUGACCACCACGGACUCACCGCAACAGCAGCAGCAGCAGCCGUGUCGGGCCGGCUACUACGUCAUCAGCGGGUCGAGUAUCACAAAGGAAGCGGCCGAGGCAGUCGAGCAGCUUAUGCUCGCUCGCAUGUUGUCCUUGCGCACGGAUGACUUGAACCCGGACUCUGGGGUUGCGGGAAGCACGAGCAGUGUGAGCGGGGUGCCGUUUCUUGUCCUUGGUCAUGUGUUUGCGCUGACGUGGGCCCUGUGUCAAGAGCAAGUGCCCGGAUUCCCGUACUUCAUGUUGGACGGCAACCCCCAUCACUAUGGCGGCUUCUCGUUCCUGUCCGAGGACGCGGCGAAGAAGCCAUCGACACACGGCACUGUGCGCGCACGAGGGAGGUUUCAAGCCGCGCUGUCCCCUGCCCCGGCAAACGCGAUCAUGACCACAGCAGACCCCGGCGCCUCGAUGCUGCCAGCCAUUGUCGAGGGUGCGUCCGCUGUGGCCUCUGCCUCCAGCCAGGACGGCGGUGUGAGUCUUGAGUCGCGGCUCAGGUCCGGGUGGCAGGCUGUCACCGGCGCGCUCGCGAUGGGGGCUGCGCGGCUCUCUGGAGUGCGCCGCUCUGAGGCGGAGCCGACGGGCAGCGGUGGGGGCGGCAAGCAAUGCGCUGGUGCGCACGCGACCCAAAUUCUGCGCGGUGAGGAGGACUCCAUCGGUGCGGCCCCCUCAACGACGGCCGGCGCAGUCGUGGCGACGUCGCGGCUAUGACGUGCGCGUGCGUGUGCGCUUGAUGAGGGCGCGUGGCAUGCGAAAGGGCUGAAAAGAGAAGAACGAAUAAGGGAGACACAGUCCCGGGCACCGACGGCCCCAUGCGGCAUCACCGUCGUCGUCAGGCAGCGCCAGAUGUGGUCAGGGCGAGUGGGGAAGGGCAGGGGACGUGAGGGGCUCUCCGUCUCGUCUUCGGUCUCUCCGUUGGCCACGUCGAUGUAACGGCAUGUUUUGUAUGUCCUGCUCACAUGUGCCUCAUUCCCUUCUCAUCCCCCGCCCCUCUCUCUUUACACGGGUGCACACACGCUUAG